rnacentral:rRNA from 1 species
GACCCCAGGUCAGGCGGGAAUACCCGCUGAGUUUAAGCAUAUCAAUAAGCGGAGGAAAAGAAACUUACCAGGAUUCC